CAAGAUUUGAGUGCAUAAUGACUCCGUCAUUUCAGCUUUACCCUUGCAUGCGUUCUGGCAGCGAUUUUGCAAUAUUUUUAAGAGUCAAAGAACACAAAUCAACACAAAACAGGCCCUUUGGACCAACCAAACCCCAGUCAGGUUGGAUUGGCAAUAACAUCUCCU